rnacentral:rRNA from 1 species
GAUGAACGCUAGCGGCAGGCCUAAUACAUGCAAGUCGAACGGGAUCCAGAUCAAAGCUUGCUUUGGUCUGGUGAGAGUGGCGCACGGGUGCGUAACGCGUGAGCAACCUACCCUUGUCAGGGGGAUAGCCCGGCGAAAGUCGGAUUAAUACCGCAUGACAUCAUUGAGAGGCAUCUUUCGAUGAUCAAAGAUUUAUCGGACAAGGAUGGGCUCGCGUGACAUUAGCUAGUUGGUAAGGUAACGGCUUACCAAGGCUGCGAUGUCUAGGGGCUCUGAGAGGAGAAUCCCCCACACUGGUACUGAGACACGGACCAGACUCCUACGGGAGGCAGCAGUAAGGAAUAUUGGUCAAUGGACGGAAGUCUGAACCAGCCAUGCCGCGUGCAGGAAGACGGCCCUAUGGGUGGUAAACUGCUUUUAUACGGGAACAAACGUCGGUACGUGUACCGGUCUGAGUGUACCGGAAGAAUAAGGAUCGGCUAACUCCGUG